rnacentral:rRNA from 1 species
GACGAAGGAUGCAAGCGUUAUCCGGAUUCAUUGGGUUUAAAGGGAGCGUAGGCGGACUUGUAAGUCAGUGGUGAAAUCUGUGGGCUUAACCCACAAACUGCCAUUGAUACUGCAGGUCUAGAGUACAGUUGCCGUUGGCGGAAUAUGACAUGGUAGUGGUGAAAUACUUAGAAUAUGUCAUAGAACACCGAUUGCGAAAGGCAGCCUAACGGAAGCUGUAACUGACGCUGAGGAGCGAAAAGCGUGGGGGAGCGAACAGG